CUUUCCGGCAAUAUUUUUGGAAGUGUGCAUCGGCAGAAUUUCACUGGUGGCAUUAACCCUUUCGUGUUUACAUUGAUGUUGUGACAGUUAACAACACAAUAAUUUCCAGUCAUUCGAAGAGGCGCCGUCGGAAACAAGAGACGUUUCGCGCGCAGCGCGAGCUAAGCGCGGGCGCGACCUUGACGGGAAGCAGCGAAAACGUACACCUGUGGGAGGUGAAAUCAUUCCGCCGGGAGAGAAGCGAGCACCAUGCGAGUGCUGGCCUCUAGGAUGAAACUUGGCCUGCGAAAAAGGCGCGAAGGCGAGCGUUUCGCGCGUUUAUUGUGAGUGCGGAGGCGCCAUUUUCAGUUGUCACUACGGCUGCGCAAGGUGGUCAAGACUGUUGUUUCUUUCUCCUGAGCUCCUGGCCGGGUUGGCCCCGCAGUAAAGAUUCUGAGUGACAAAAGGGUGUGAAAUAGAAGGCAUCAAGGCAUCAGUGGGCAUUUUGUCUUCACUGAGUACUUCAAUGAGUGAAGGGCAGCCAGUCCACUGCAGUCUUUCUUUCUCGCAAGUCAUGGCUGCAUGCUUCUGAACGGCCUUUUUUGUGUGUAUCGAUCUUAAUAGAUUUGCUGUUGACAUG